rnacentral:snRNA from 1 species
AAAGGUUAGGAGCAGCAGAAACUGGGGGCUUCAACUAGAAACAGCUGAACAACUGGCUCCUCCAUUGCACUGCGGGUGUUCUGACCCCUGCGAUUUCCCCAAAUGUGGGAAACUUGACUGCAUAAUUUGUGGGGGACUGUGUUCGCGCUCAAAAAAA